UGUGCGGUGAGGCUCAGUUCUUCCGCCGCCGGCGCUAACACAAUGGUGAGCGCUGCGGCGCGGCUCGCCGGUGUCCGGCUGCAGACCCUCUCCUGACGGGAAGGGUCGUGUCCAGCCUUCCCUGUGCGUAUUCUUUUCCUGAGAAGUGGGACAGUGCUGUCUACAUCUUGCCGCGCCGGUUUCCUUUCCGGGGAGAAAACCUUAGAUGAAGCACGUUUCUUCUGUCUUCACCCUGAGGCCUGCUCUUCGAAUUUCCUUCAGCGAGGAGGAGACCCUGAAUGUCAGAAUUAACUUGUGUUCGGCGGUUACUGUCCAGCCCCAAAUUCCUUCUUAUCAGGAACUGCGUAUAUAGAAGACUUUCGGGCUUUUUUCCCCUGACGAUGAAAGCAGUUAUUGCAUGUCUGACUUCCCUGAUUCAACUGCAAGCUCCUUGAGGGUAGGAGUUCUUCUUUAUAUCCUUGUUCCUGGAAACACAUCUGGACCACAGAGCAGCCCUUAUAUAAAUGGCCUUCUCUAUUUAUCGGGAAACCUUUCAGCAAGGUUACCUUUUACUAUAGGAACCAGUUAAGAAAGGGGAAUUUUUCCCCUCUACCUCCUUCUCCCAUCCCCACUCACCACCCUUAGAGUUCUAGUGAAAAAAAAAAAAGAAUCCAAGGGAAGUAUUCUGAUGGGCUAGGCUUGGGUCAUAUGCCCAACCUGGAUCAAAUCUUAUAGCCAAGAGGAUGAGCUACUUUGUUCAACAAAAAUUGGAUCAAUGCCCAUCACUGUAGCCGAAGAAGUGGAGUCUUUUAUUAGCUGCCACCACAAGAAGCACAUAAUUGGAGUUGGAGAGAAGGUGUUUCCCCAAACAACGAGGUGCUAUUCUGGGCCGCCAAAAUACUUUGAGUCUACUAACAUGCAAUGAAAUUUGAACUUCUCUAAUAAUAAUAAUAAUAACAAUAAUGUUUAUUGAAUGUUUACCCUCUGCCAAGUUGUGUGAAAAGUGCUUUAUGUUAUUUCGUCUUUCCAACAACCCUAUGAAGAAGAUAUUAUUAAUUCCUCUUUUACGGAUGAAGCAACUGAGACACAGAGGAGAUAAGCAAAUUGUCCAGGGUUACACAACAGUAAGCGCAGAUUUUAAUCUAGUUUUAUUUGACUCUGGAGACCACUCUUUAACCACUAUCCUACAUAGAAGUAGGGUAACUAUCAGAGGCUUUAAAAUAAAUCCAUCCUUUAAAAAUAUCUCUCGGGUAGUGAUGUGGAAAUUAGAUUGAAGAGGAGAAAUACUGCAAAUAAAGAGGCCACUGCAACUGUCCAGGUGAGUAAUGGGUGAAAGCUUGAACAGAGAGUAAAGAAGAGACUUCAAAGAUAGUUAGAAGGAGAUAUCAACAAAACUUGGUAGUCACUGGAAGAGAUAGGUGAAAGAGUGAAUUGAUUUAAGGAUAAUAGUUAAGGUUCCUGUCUUGAGUAAGAUGAGAGGUGAUGACUGUGUUUCUUUGUUCCUUCUUCCCUCUUUCCUUUCUUUCAUCCCUGCUUCAUUUUAACAAAGACUAGAAGUGACUGGUAUUGAAAUUAACCAAGACAGCAAAUAAAAGAUGUGGAACAAUUUGAAGGGAAAAACUAAUAAAAUAAGUUCUGAGCAAGUUGAGUCUAAAGUGCCCAUGGAAUAUUAAAAUGAGUAUGUCCACUAGGCAGCUGGAAAUGCAUCUGGAGGUCAAGAAAGGAGAGGGCUGGUAUUAGAUGGAAAACUACACACCUAAUCAAGCCUUGGGACUCAAUCCAGUUUGCUUCACUCGUGUUCUUCCUUGUCUUUCCUAUGCCAGAGACAAAGGCUUGGCACAAAUAGUAAUUAUAACUGAAGCAGAAUAUAUUUAAAUACAUAAUUUUAGGUAUCAAAUUUAAUUUCACAAAAUUUACACAUCAAACUGGAGUAUUUGAAAGAUUGCUGACAAAGGAAGACAGAAGUGAAUAAAUAGGAUCCAUUUAUAGAUAUCAUUUUGCCAUUAUUACCAGUUAAGA